UACGAAGGGGGCUAGCGUUGCUCGGAAUCACUGGGCGUAAAGGGUGUGUAGGCGGGUCUUUAAGUCAGGGGUGAAAUCCUGGAGCUCAACUCCAGAACUGCCUUUGAUACUGGCGAUCUUGAGUCCGGAAGAGGUGAGUGGAACUCCUAGUGUAGAGGUGGAAUUCGUAGAUAUUAGGAAGAACACCAGUGGCGAAGGCGGCUCACUGGUCCGGUACUGACGCUGAGGUGCGAAAGCGUGGGGAGCAAACAGG
rnacentral:rRNA from 1 species